rnacentral:rRNA from 1 species
GGUGCUACGAAACCCAAAGGCAGUGAAAGCGAAGGCCUGCCCCAGUGCCCAGGUGGGAUCCCGGUUGGGCGCACCACCGGCCCGUCUGGAACUUCCCAUGCCGAAGUCAGGCGGAGCAAGAGCGUACACGUUGGGACCCGAAAGAUGGUGAACUAUGCCUGAGCAGGCUGAAGCCAGGGGAAACCCUGGUGGAGGGCCGCAGCGAUUCUGACGUGCAAAUCGAUCGUCCGACUUGGGUAUAGGGGCGAAAGACUAAUCGAACCAUCUAGUAGCUGGUUCCCUCCGAAGUUUCCCUCAGGAUAGCAGGCGCUCGAGGGAUCAGUUUUAUCCGGUAAAGCGAAUGAUUAGAGGCCUUGGGGCCGAAACGACCUCAACCUAUUCUCAAACUUUAAAUGGGUAAGAAGCCCCGCUCGCCUGAACGGAGCGG